UAUAAGUAAUAGUAAAUUCGAAUAAUUCUCGUUCCUUCUCCUUUCCUCGGUACUGUUUGGGAGAGGCGAAAACAAAAGCAGCUCAGGCCCGGCCCGAUCCCGGAUCUUCGCCGCCGGCGACGCCGGUUGGAGAGGUGAUGGGGGAGAUUGGCGUCAUGCCGAUGAGGAUUUUGCUGUCGGCGCGCCCGAGCCGCGUUCGGUGGUUCCUGGCGAUGCUCUUGUUGGUGGUGGCGGUUGGCUCGCUGCUGCUGGAAGCAGGCGCGCUGGAAUCCUCGGAAAUAAGCUCGAUGUCUCCCCUGGUAUGCAGGAAUCCCCUUCGCUUGCUCUCGCCGACGGCAGUCACCAUGGUGGUGGUCAAGUCGACAGGGACUGGUAUGAAGACUGUUCUUGCGACCGGUUCCAGAGCAAAUCAUCGAUGGUGCUUGAGCUUUGGCGCUCCCGGCGGACAGCCGGCUUGCAGCGCCGCCGCGCCACCGAAUCCUCUGGCCGAAGGGCGGCCAAACCUCUUCCUCCUAGCCUUGAAGCUAUAUGGGAGGCAGUGCUACUCUAGAUCGAUGUUCAUGGCUUGCUGCGGUGAAGAACUCGUCGGACCAAGUGGUGAUGUCCCCGGAGCCGGCGAGUUUGGAGUCGAUCGGGAGUGGCUUGGACCUGAUUGCGUUCCUCUUCAGAUCUUUGGGGUCCUUUCUGCAUAUUUCAGGGACUGCUUUGUAAUUUUCAGUUUGUUGUGUGUCCUGUUGUUCUGGCUUGUACUACGGUAUUGUAAUAUCAAAUAAAGUCUGGGGUCCUUUUGGACCCUGCCCUUGUUCAAAAAAAAAAAAAAGUAAUAGUAAAUUCACAAUAACAUACUGUUGUAUGUCUACCUACCCAAGCG
rnacentral:rRNA from 1 species